rnacentral:rRNA from 1 species
GAUGAACGCUGGCGGCGUGCUUAACACAUGCAAGUCGAACGAUGAAGCUGGAGCUUGCUCUGGUGGAUUAGUGGCGAACGGGUGAGUAACACGUGAGCAACCUGCCCCUGACUCUGGGAUAACAGCCGGAAACGGCUGCUAAUACCGGAUAUGCACCAUGAACGCAUGUUCUGUGGUGGGAAAGAUUUUUCGGUUGGGGAUGGGCUCGCGGCCUAUCAGCUUGUUGGUGAGGUAAUGGCUCACCAAGGCGUCGACGGGUAGCCGGCCUGGGAGGGUGACCGGCCACACUGGGACUGAGACACGGCCCAGACUCCUACGGGAGGCAGCAGUGGGGAAUAUUGCACAAUGGGCGAAAGCCUGAUGCAGCAACGCCGCGUGAGGGAUGACGGCCUUCGGGUUGUAAACCUCUUUUAGCAGGGAAGAAGCGAGAGUGACGGUACCUGCAGAAAAAGCGCCGGCUAACUACGUG